CGCAAGUCGCAAAACAGCAGAGGGUUCACAGAUACAUGGGACACAAUUGAGUUCAUAGUCUUCACUGGAGAGCAAAUGAGGACAGGAAGAUAGAGACCAGACCUGGCAACCCAGUUGCUUUGUGAGUUUUCCACAAAUAUAUUCAGCUAGGGAGGAGAAACAAAAAAAAAUGCAGAUUGGAGAUAAGCCCAGGUUGGAAUCCAAGAAAACUAGAACAAUAGGACCCUUGGUCCACAAACGACAAAUUGAUGGUGUCCUGUGCUCUCCUUCCUAAGACAGAGAAGGAG